rnacentral:rRNA from 1 species
GGAUGAACGCUGGCGGCGUGCCUAAUACAUGCAAGUCGAGCGAACGGAUGAGAAGCUUGCUUCUCUGAUGUUAGCGGCGGACGGGUGGGUAACACGUGGAUAACCUACCUAUAAGACUGGGAUAACUUCGGGAAACCGGAGCUAAUACCGGAUAAUAUUUUGAACCGCAUGGUUCAAAAGUGAAAGACGGUCUUGCUGUCACUUAUAGAUGGAUCCGCGCUGCAUUAGCUAGUUGGUAAGGUAACGGCUUACCAAGGCAACGAUGCAUAGCCGACCUGAGAGGGUGAUCGGCCACACUGGAACUGAGACACGGUCCAGACUCCUACGGGAGGCAGCAGUAGGGAAUCUUCCGCAAUGGGCGAAAGCCUGACGGAGCAACGCCGCGUGAGUGAUGAAGGUCUUCGGAUCGUAAAACUCUGUUAUUAGGGAAGAACAUAUGUGUAAGUAACUGUGCACAUCUUGACGGUACCUAAUCAGAAAGCCACGGCUAACUACGUG